UGAGAUUCGGUCAAAGACUCUUUCAAAUAGGAUUUGAAUACCUAUUUAAAAGCUAUUUUUUUUUUAAAAAUAUAAAUAACAUAUAUUUUAAAUAGAAUGUAAAUAGUCAUAUACUACACUGUUAAUUUGGAGGUGUCUAUUUAACACCAAAAAAGGUGUUAAAUGGAAAUGGCAAAAAUGACACCAUUUUGGGUGCUAUUUUAACACCACUUUGUAGGGUGUCAAAUUAGCACCUGGAAAGGUGUUAAAAUAACCCCGUUUUUGAUGUCAUAGUAACACCGAUUUCGGUGUUGUUUUAGCACUCUAACCUUGGUGUUAAAAUAACACUCGAUUUUAUUGCAAUUUUAGCAUUACCGAAUAUUAAAAAUGUAUAUCCCUUCCUAUCCAACACACAAAACAAUUAAAAUAAUCUAUUGAAAAUUUUAUUUAUAUUAUACUUAACAGCAUUGCUCAUCUAUGUCAUAUAUGAAGUAUAUAGUAAAUUAGAAACUUAUGUUUAACAAAUAUAAAACAUUUUCCGUGUUGAUAUACAGUUAUAUCAACACGAGUGGAAUUUGGGAAAACGAGAAAUUGUGCGGAAACACGACACCCAAAGGGCGGAGUGUUUUCAUACAAUUUCGAGUUUUCCCAACUUCUACGAAUGUUGAUAUAACUAUAUAUCAAUACGGAAAAAACGUUUUAUAUUUUUUUUAUAAUAUAGCAUGUCAAAAGCCCGAAGGAUAAGAAAAAUUUCCGUGUUUACAAGCGGCGGAAAAUUUCCCGUGUUGACAUUGAGUUAUAUCAACACGGCUCUUAGCCAAUCAGCGUUCAGAAUUUAUAAAUGCUAUAUUAUAAUCUAAAAUUCAACUUUUUAACGAGUUCUCGCACCUAUAAGGUUUACGCAUAGAAACAUUCACAGAAAUAGCCCAUGAUUGUGACGGCACUCUGGUAAUUAAAGAUAAGGAGAAUAUCGUAAACCUCCGACUAUAAGCCCUGGGCUUCUAUACUUUCGUAAGCGAUUUUUAAUGGGCUUAUACAGGGGGGGAGGUCUUAUAUACAGAGGGGCCUAUACAUGGACGAUCUUUUGUGUUAUUGUAAUAGUGAUAAAGAAGUAUAGUAAUAGUGAUAAACAAGUGUUGAACAAGCAUAGUAAUAAUAUAAUAAACAUGCAAGUGGGCUUAUAUUUGGGUGGGAUUAUAUUCGGGGGGGAGGGGCUUAUAUUUGGAAUGAGGUGAGCGUUAGUACACGUGGUGGGCUUAUACACGAGGGUUGGGGUUAUAUUCGGGGGGGGGCUUAUAUUCGGAGGUUUAUGGUAUAUCCUGCAUGUACAAUACAUACAGUACAUUGAAGGACAUUGGCAAUAAAAAUUUUUAUUGCUUUAAUUAUCUGAAAGAGCAUGAAAAAAUAAGCCGAUUGGACGUUUAAUGCUCUAUUCUAUCUCAUCUAGCCUGCGUAGCAGGCAGUAUUCGCGGGCACGAGAGAAUGGGAAGCUUGAAAUACCGCCUGCCCAAAAACUACACAUUCUGAGUUCUCCCCGGCAGCUGGGUGCCGGAGCAUUCUGAUUGGUAGCCUGCGUAGCAGGCGGUAUCUGAUUGGUCAGAAUGUUGAUUUUGAAUUUUUGAUUGACAGGAGUACAGAAUUAGAAUAAUUAGUGCUAAUUUUAGAAGUUACUGUCGCCGUAUUUAUAAUAUACAGUAUUGUUAUUUUCGUAAUUGAUAACGAUAUAUCGAGUGAUGGCAUACACUAACCAAAAGAUAACGAAUGUAUUAAUUGAGAAUUAAGCGUUGAAUUCUUUAAUCUUUAUCUGGAAUCGGAAAUCGCUUCGUCUUGAAGAAUGAACAACGAAUAUCAAUCCAACAUUUGUUGCUUGAUAAAAGUUCAGAUUUGAAGAUACAGUCUCGUAAAUGACACUCUAAGUCAUGUUUUUGAUAGCGAUUGGAACAAGCCUAUUACAAAGCUACGUCUGAAGGGGCCGAAGUUGUGUUCGGCGAAAAGUAUGGCUAGUCUAUAUUUUUGUUCAGACAAUUGCGUAAUUUGAUAAUACACGAACUCGCUUGACUUUCAAAGCUCACAAAUCGCUAUAAUGUUCACAUCGACUAAAACUAUCGCUAUGAAUGAGGACAUAUUGUUACACUGAAUCGAACGUGGUAUUUUUGUCUUCAUAGCAUUGAAUGAACCGAAGAUAUGAAACGUCAAAGCCGUGUAUUUGCACUGGUGUAAAUACGUGAGUUUGACAAAUAAUUAAAAUAAAUACAUUACUGUAAGAUGGGCGGGACCAUGCGGUGGGCGGAACUCAGAAUGUGUAGUUUUUGAGCAGGCGGUAUUUCUAGCUUCUACCGCCUGCUAGGCAGGCUAAUCUCAUCUGGUUCCGAAGUUAUGCGCAAAAAUGUGCAAAAUAUUGAUUGCUGAUUCAGCACAACGUGUGACGUCAUUGGUUGGGUAAGUAUGUUUAUUGAAUAGUAAACUGAAGCAUAGCUCAGUUAUUAUUGGCUCAAAAGAAAUGAAAUUUUGCACAUAGAUAGUACAUGAUGAGACGCAUGGGAAAAUACUUCUAAUUUUGUUGUCAAGGCAACACAGUUGUUCCCAGGCCCCUUACACUGAUUUUG